rnacentral:misc_RNA from 1 species
GAUGAAGAACGCAGCGAAAUGCGAUACUUGGUGUGAAUUGCAGAAUCCCGUGAACCAUCGAGUCUUUGAACGCACAUUGCGCCCCCUGGUAUUCCGGGGGGCAUGCCUGUCCGAGCGUCAUUGCUGCCCUCAAGCACGGCUUGUGUGUUGGGCCCCGUCCUCCGAUCCCGGGGGACGGGCCCGAAAGGCAGCGGCGGCACCGCGUCCGGUCCUCGAGCGUAUGGGGCUUUGUCACCCGCUCUGUAGGCCCGGCCGGCGCUUGCCGAUCAACCCAAAUUUUUAUCCAGGUUGACCUCGGAUCAGGUAGGGAUACCCGCUGAACUUAAGCAUAUCAAUAAGCGGAGGA